AUGCCUGCCUUGAAGCUUAGCUAUGACUUUCUUCCUUUCCAUCUGCAACAAUGUUUUGCCUAUUCUGGAUUGUUUCCUGAAGAUUACAAUUUCAGAAGUGACGAGCUGAUCAGUCUAUGGAUUGGACUAGAUAUUUUGAAACCCAAUGGGCAAGACCAAAUAUUUGAAGACAUAGGUCUGAGCAAUUUAAAUGAGUUAGUCAUCCAUGGAUUUUUCAGAGAAGAGAAAACUUAUUAUGGUAUGCGUUAUGUUAUGCAUGACCUGCUGCAUGAUUUGGCAUUGAAGGUUGCAUCUCAUGAUUGUCUUAGUCUAAGUCUCCCUAGUGUUGGAUCAGUAGAGAUUCAGCCAACCACCCGUCACUUGUCUAUAAGCACAUAUGGUUUAGGUAAAUAUGAUGAAGUGUCUGGUAAAAAAUUGAAGAGUGAAUUGGAAGAACUAAAGACAAGAUUUAAGGUUGAAGAAUUGCAAGCAUUGAUGUUAUUUGGAAAAAUGGAUGAAGGUUUUUUCAAGAUAUUUGGUGAUUUUUUGGGGGAAGUGAACACUCUUCGUGUUCUUCAUUUGCCCAAAAUGCUUUGUCCCGUGGAGUUCAUGUUACAUAACUUUUCGGGACUUCUCCACCUACGAUACCUAUGUCUAGGGACACAUGACAUCCAGAUUCAUUUACCACUUAGCAUCUCUAAAAUUUAUCAUUUAAGGAUUCUAGAUCUUAAAUGGUGGAAUGGCAGUCGUGAUUUGCCUGAUGACAUGAGCAACCUUGCCAAAUUGUGCCAUUCUUAUGUCCCAAAUGAUGAUAAGCUUCAUUCUGAUAUUUAUAAUGUGGGAAAGCUUAAACUCUUAGAAGAGUUAAAGGUAUUUGAAGUCAAUAAAAAAUGUGAAGGGUUUGAACCAAAGCAACUAGAGCACUUGACCAAGCUAAGGGAGCUUGGCAUCUACAACCUUGAGAAGAUAGAUACAACAGAAGAAGCAGCUCAAGCAAAACUGAUGGAGAAAAAUUACUUGAGGAGGUUAACAUUGGACUGGGAUAGUAAGCGAUCUAGUAUUGAUCCUGGUGUGGAAGCAGCGGUUCUUGAGAGCCUUCAUCCACAUGGAGAUCUUCAGGUGUUGUGCAUUAGAGGGCACGGAGGUCCUUCUUGUCCAUCAUGGCUGGGUGAUGAGUUCGCUGCUGAAGGUCUACAAGCUCUUUAUCUGUAUGGUGUUUCUUGGGAAGUUUUUCCUUCUUUAGGGAAGGCGUGGGAUCUUCGUGAAUUAAGGUUUGAGCAUAUUGCCAGGCCGAAGGAGUUUACUAUAGAGAAAAGCUUUUGCAUGCUAAUAAAGUUUGAACUCAUUGGCCUAGGAAGUUUUGAAAAAUGGAGUUGCCAACGGAUGCUCAUACGUUCCCUCUCUUGCAAGUGCUGA
rnacentral:rRNA from 1 species